GCACGGGCGAGAGCUUCCGCACCGUCCUGGUUAACGCAGACGGCGAGCGCACUGGCCGGGUUUCUCAGACCGUAGACUUUAUUUGGGGGAGUUUUCCCUCAGUUCAGUUCCUGACUGUGCAGGGCCAACAGGGCAGGGGAGGGGAAGACCCGGGGAAGGAAGAAUGACAGUCCCGUCGUAAGACCUGUCACAACGAUAAGCAGGGAGGGGAGAUGUGGAGGGGACACAUCUGAUUGCCUCUGAGGCAGAGGCUGUGAGUUUCAGAACAGCUGUCUGCAGGGAACACCACCAUGCUGACCCUCUGGAGGAGAGCGCUGUGGAGCCCCUCCCGUGUUCCAGCUCCGUCUGCCCUGCGCCUAUAUAUACACAUGCGUCUAUCCAUACUGCAGCUUUUAUCUGUGAUUUCCUCGCUGAAACCAUGUUUCUCAGACAGGCCAAGGCCACCUGACUCCUAUCACGACGCACCCAAGCCCCUCAGUCCAGCUUCCCAACGCCUGGUACCCCCCUUUGGCAAUAGCUCACCGUUUACACCCUCCCUCAUAGAUACACAGAAGUUAUUUUUUUAAUGGAUAUUUAUUUUUUUACAUUGGUCAGUACGCAGGUCAGGAGCUCACGCCAGGGCCUUGAGGACAGGCUGACCCUCCUCCCCGGGGUGGGGCGGGGCUGGGGCACCCUCCGACGGCAGAGCCUCCUUCAGAAAGUGCAGCUCAAGUCUUAAAGACACCAAAACUGAGCCAUGGGCACGCGCUGUCUCCGGGCCACGGCGUUCACUGCAGGGCGGGGGCGGCACCGUUCCCCUGUGACUGUGCACCCCGCCUCCCUGGGGACCUGCCUGUGGGAGGAAGGAAUGGGGGGCCCCAGCCCCAGGUCGGGAAGGAGCCAGCG
rnacentral:sRNA from 1 species